rnacentral:tRNA from 1 species
GCACGAGUGGCGAAACUGGUAGACGCAGCGGACUUAAAAUCCGCAGGUCCUUUGGUGGACCGUAUGGGUUCGAGCCCCAUCUCGUGCA